ACUGCUUUCAAAACUGUUUUUCUUGAGUAGUGCAGAGGUAGGCGGAAUUCCCGGUGUAGCGGUGGAAUGCGUAGAUAUCGGGAGGAACACCAGUGGCGAAGGCGGCCUACUGGGCACCAACUGACGCUGAGGCUCGAAAGUGUGGGUAGCAAACAGGAUUAGAUACCCUGGUAGUCCACACCGUAAACGAUGAUUACUAGGUGUUGGAGGAUUGACCCCUUCAGUGCCGCAGUUAACACAAUAAGUAAUCCACCUGGGGAGUACGACCGCAAGGUUGAAACUCAAAGGAAUUGACGGGGGCCCGCACAAGCAGUGGAGUAUGUGGUUUAAUUCGACGCAACGCGAAGAACCUUACCAAGUCUUGACAUCCCUUGACGAUGCUGGAAACAGUAUUUCUCUUCGGAGCAAGGAGACAGGUGGUGCAUGGUUGUCGUCAGCUCGUGUCGUGAGAUGUUGGGUUAAGUCCCGCAACGAGCGCAACCCUUAUGGUCAGUUACUACGCAAGAGGACUCUGGCCAGACUGCCGUUGACAAAACGGAGGAAGGUGGGGAUGACGUCAAAUCAUCAUGCCCUUUAUGACUUGGGCUACACACGUACUACAAUGGCGUUAAACAAAGAGAAGCAAGACCGCGAGGUGGAGCAAAACUCAGAAACAACGUCCCAGUUCGGACUGCAGGCUGCAACUCGCCUGCACGAAGUCGGAAUUGCUAGUAAUCGUGGAUCAGCAUGCCACGGUGAAUACGUUCCCGGGCCUUGUACACACCGCCCGUCACACCAUGAGAGCCGGGGGGACCCGAAGUCGGUAGUCUAACCGCAAGGAGGACGCCGCCGAAGGUAAAACUGGUGAUUGGGGUGAAGUCGUAACAAGGUAGCCGUAGGAGAACCUGCGGCUG
rnacentral:rRNA from 1 species